rnacentral:misc_RNA from 1 species
GAUGAAGAACGUAGCGAAAUGCGAUACGUAAUGUGAAUUGCAGAUCUCUCAGUGAACCAUCGAAUCUUUGAACGCACAUUGCGCCCGCCAGUAUUCUGGCGGGCAUGCCUGUUCGAGCGUCAUUUCAACCAUCAAGCCCCCGGCUUGUGUUGGGGACCUGCGGCUGCCGCAGGCCCUGAAAAGCAGUGGCGGGCUCGCUGUCACACCGAGCGUAGUAGCAUACAUCUCGCUCUGGGCGUGCUGCGGGUUCCGGCCGUUAAACCACCUUCAUAACCCAAGGUUGACCUCGGAUCAGGUAGGAAGACCCGCUGAACUUAAGCAUAUCAAUAAGCGGAGGA